rnacentral:rRNA from 1 species
AGCGCAGACGGCGAUGCAAGUCUGGAGUGAAAGCCCGGGGCUCAACCCCGGGACUGCUUUGGAAACUGUAUGGCUAGAGUGCUGGAGAGGCAAGCGGAAUUCCUAGUGUAGCGGUGAAAUGCGUAGAUAUUAGGAGGAACACCAGUGGCGAAGGCGGCUUACUGGACGGUAACUGACGUUGAGGCUCGAAAGCGUGGGGAGCAAACA